ACUUGCGCAUCGGUUAGUCCAAGUGCAGAGCAAUAGGAGGUCGCACUGAGAUCUCACCUUUCCGUUAUGUAAGUCUCACUUGAUUUAAUUUAUUAGGCUAUUUUUUUUUUUUACAAGCAAGUUUUAUGAAAAAGCACAGCUUAGCCCAAUUGUAUUGUUUCCCCAAUUCAGUUACUGGAACAUCGGUACGCAGAAGAACUGGAGAAGCCAAUUUAACAUAAAAAAUGAGUACGAGUUUCAUUGACACCUUAAUUUACGCAUUUGCGCAUGUGUGUUUUUUAAGUUGCAUUGUACAAACUGGUGUUUCUCAGCGUCAGGGCAACAGUGGAGCGGCAGCUCUCAGACAAACCUUACAAUGGCAACACAACGGCAAACUCUUUAGUAUAUUAAGUCAAGGCUCGGAAUAUCAGCCACCGUUAAAACGAGACGGAAACCAAGAGCAGACGCAAGCCAGGCCGAUAGCCAUCGUCCGCAAUGAUGCUGCUGCUGCUACGAGAACAGACAGCUCAGCUGCUGCUGCUUCUUCUUCUCGAGCCUCCCAGAGCCGCUCCGCGCGCUUGCAGCCAGGUAUCGGUGCGCGCUGGUUAUCAGGUGGAGCGCGCGCCAGAGGAUCACGCGGGCGCAGGAAUCAGACGGAGCAGCUGCAAACAUCAGUCAACGGCACCGACAGACCCACACUGGACGUUGAAAUGAUGGUUGGAGAUGAUCCUUACGACCCAUACAAGUCCAGUGACCCGGACAACCCGUAUUAUAACUAUUAUGACACGUAUGAGAGACGGCGUCCUGCCCCGCGCCCGGGAUAUGGCACAAGAUACUUCCAGCAUGGUUUGCCUGAUCUUGUUGGAGACCCAUACUACAUCCAAGCGUCCGCCUACGUGCAGAGUGUUCCAAUGUACAAUCUCAGAUGCGCCGCUGAGGAAAACUGCUUGGCGAGCAGUGCAUACAGAUCCAGCGUGAGAGACUACGACACACGUAUGUUGCUGAGGUUCCCGCAGCGAGUCAUGAACCAAGGAACCUCCGACUUCCUUCCCAGCAGGCCACGCUACAGCUGGGAAUGGCACAGCUGCCAUCAGCACUACCACAGCAUGGACGAGUUCAGUCAUUAUGACCUGCUGGAAUCCAGUUCACAGAGAAGAGUAGCAGAGGGACACAAGGCUAGUUUCUGUCUGGAGGACACGUCCUGUGACUACGGCUACUACCGACGAUACGCCUGCACCUCCCACACUCAGGUCAAUCUCAUUUAAUAUUUAUGUGCCUCUAUGACUCUGUUCCAAAACGAUGUAACUGAAAUUAAACCUGUGAUCGAUUUGAAACAUUGUAUGUCGCAAAAUAGUGCCUUUGAUAAAAAACAGACAGAAAACUCAAUUCACAAUGGAUUUCUAAAGCCUUUUAGAGGUUUGCAUGUGGCUAAGCUAACAACACUACUCCAGUAAAAAUAAGAAAUAUAUUAAACUACUAAAAUGAAACCUCAAGUGACAGAUUUCAAAACUUUGUACAUUAUAACAAUAGUGCUUCUCACUGAAAGUCUCAAUUCACAAUGAAUUUCUGAAGAUUCUGAGGCUAGCUGGUUACUAAGAUAAGAACGCCUGUUACAUAAAUUAACCAUGGUUUUAUUAUAGUAAAAGUGUGGCAACCAUGUUUUUUUGGGGGGCAUAUUGACUACCAUUUGUAUAAUUUGUAUAACUAUAGUUAAGUUGUAUUAAUUAAAGUAAGUAUAGAUAAUGUAUAAUUACAGUAUAACUGUAGUAACCAUGUUUUUUUUUUUAAUUUGUAGUAACCAUGGUAAAUUGGUAAACAUGGUAAAAAAAGGGUACUACUCAAAGAAAAGAAAAAAUCAAUAUUGAAUGAUAUUACAUAUUUAAUCAAUAUUUGUCCUGCAGUGUCCACCAUCUUGGAUGGAUUUACAAUAAAUUCUGGCAUCACCAUGUUUGUCGAAAAUAAAUUCUUGACAAACAUGGAAUAAAAAUAUGUAUGCCAGGAUUAUGGACUUAUCUGUGUGUUUUUGCCCUCAUGUUGACUGUGUUCAUUUGAUUCCAGGUUUGCCUCGUUCCUCCCCAAUUAUUCUGCCUUUAAAAGCCCUAGUCCUUUCGGUUCUUGUUUGUCAGAUCUAGCCUACUUGUUGGAAGUCUUUCUCGUUUCUUGUCUCUACUUUAGAUUAUUAAAGACUUAUUCGUGUUAUUUCCAGCGUUUCAUCAUUCCCUUCUAGAGGGAGAUUGUGACAGAAGACCCGACCGAAACAGUAACCUAUGUGUCUAUCCUCUGUUUUU